rnacentral:rRNA from 1 species
CUAUGCGCCUUGCCAGCCCGCUCAGGUGUGCCAGCCGCCGCGGUAAUACGGAGGAUGCGAGCGUUAUCCGGAUUUAUUGGGUUUAAAGGGUGCGUAGGCGGGCUGUUAAGUCAGCGGUCAAAUGUCCGGGCUCAACCCGGGCCGGCCGUUGAAACUGGGGAUCUUGAGUGGGCGAGAAGUAUGCGGAAUGCGUGGUGUAGCGGUGAAAUGCAUAGAUAUCACGCAGAACUCCGAUUGCGAAGGCAGCAUACCGGCGCCCGACUGACGCUGAGGCACGAAAGCGUGGGUAUCGAACAGG